rnacentral:lncRNA from 1 species
CAUGGGUUUGAAUGGAGGAGUGUCACUCAGCAUGACUCCCUCUCUCUUUCUCUCUCGCUCUCUGUAGAGGUGGUAAUCCCUCGGUUUCCAGUGGCAGGUCGUCAGGUAUCCGAGCAGAGGAAAGGGCAUGGGGGUAGUGGACAGCUCACACACCGUCAUCGCGUGGGAACAGGCGCGAUAGAGGUUUUUGGAAAGGGGCCUAGUAGACUCUGCAUACCCUUCACGAAGACCCACAAGAGUCUGUUGUGUCUGAACUUCUCUGAUCCUGCUCCUUUAUCUCUCGUGCAUCUGUACCACACAAAACGGAUGUCCGUGUUUAUUUCACUCUAAUCCCUAAUUAACUAAUGACUCAUUUACAUUUUGUGUUUGUAUCUUGUUGCUUUGGAUCUGACCCUGGAUCUCCAUUGUGGAGUUAGCCUAUAAGCCAAUUGAAUUACUCAUGUCACAUUCGAUAUUUACUAGGUUUUGCUGCUGUAACAUGAGAUGUGGCUACGCUCAUUAGGGAGUGGUGGAAGAAUGAAUUCAAUCAUUAUUUUCUUGAGAAAAAAAUCUGGAAAUUGGAAUCAGAUAAGUGUUAUAGAGGGAAUUGCUCAUUUUAUAGUGAUGACAAGCCAACUAAAGUCCUGUCAAGCAACAGUAGACUAAAUAUUUCAUUGAUCUUCUAACGAUUGAAUUUGUCUUUUCUCAAACUUUUCUAGGUUUAUCUGUAUGAGUGACAACACACACGCACAAUGAAAUCUGCCACUCACGAGCCAAACCCCCAAUCAUAAAAAAAUUCCCCACAACAACACAGCCGUAAAUCUUGGGGCCUUUCUGGUGUGUGAUGUUUACCGCUCAGUGAACCGCUCGGUGCCAAUGACCUCAGUCUGACCACAUGGGUUCGAUGUGUGUUCCAACCGCCUGUCCGGCCCAGCCAGGGAGUGAGCUCAGACCUUCUCCAGCUGGAGAGACUUAAGACUUCCUCCUCCACACACAGCACGCACGCACACACACACACACACACACAAAUGAUAUACAGGGAACAGAUACUGUACAAAUGUGUAUGACUACGAGAAGACAAUUAUGUGGGGAUGAACAGUGAAUCAGUGCAUGGAGUUGGGUGAACUUUGAACUUGUUGCUGCAUUGAGGAAACGUUUUGUCUUAAAUACCACAUGAUUGACUAUGAACCCUUUUAAAAGAGACUGCAGACAAGACCCUUUUCUUCCCUUUGGAGAAAACUUAGUAAACUGAAACCAAAGUUGAACUUUGUUUCUUGCUUGCUACCCACCAAAUCAAAGUAAUCAAACCCAGCGCAGUGGUUAAGGGCGCUGUACUGCAGCGCCAGCUGUGCCAUCAGAGACUCUGGGUUUGCGCCCAGGCUCUGUCGUAACCGGCCGCUACCGGGAGGUCUGUGGGGCGACGCACAAUUGGCCUCGCGUCGUACGGGUUAG